rnacentral:sRNA from 1 species
AUUGUUAACAUUGUUUAUUGAGUUUUGAUACUCAGUCUUCUGAUUCACUUAACCCCUAACGGUCUGUUUCUCACCAGUUACUAAACUGUGUCUGCAUUGGGCUGGCCUGCAGCUGAGCGAUGCAGAAUUGAGCCCACCUUGGUUGAUGAGUGAUUAGGUUUCAGGCGGGCAGGGCUGCUCUCAUUAGAGCGGAGGUGCUCACCGUGUCCCGGCACUUCUGGGGGUGGAUGGUGGACCCCCAAUUCUGUCCCUCCCGGCCACCCCUCCCUACCCAGAGCCCCUUCACAUCCCUUGCACAGCCCCUCCGCCUGUCACAUCUCUGCACCGGGAUUAAGAGCCUGGCUCGGGUCUGCUAGCCAUCACCCCUGGGGUGAUGCUUGGGAAGGUGGCUGCCUAGGGCCUACUGUGGAGAGGAACCCCCCAGGCUGCUUCUAGAAGCCAGGGCUGCAGCCUGGAGGGUACAGGCCUAGCGGGGAGCUGCAGUGACCCCUCCCAGCCAAUGGCCCUGAGAGAACAGGCAGCGGAGCCCCCCCACCCCCAGUGAAGUGACGGGUGGUCCCUACAGUGGGGCCAGACCCUGAGGCAUCGCCCCUGAGUGAGCGUAUCUGUCAGCCUCUGGCCUGUGCCCUAGGACCUCCCCGAAAGCCCAGGCAGUAGGGGCCAUGGCUGGUGGCUAGUCCCCCGGGGAGGGGCUGCCCAGGUCCCUGCCCCUUGAAAGUCCGACACAGACAUCUUAGGGGGAAGGAGCGUGUCCUCCCAGGCACUCGGGGUCCCGGGGUGCAGCCCGGCCCUCCCCAACACCCUCCCUGUGCCACAGGCCCCGCACAGUCGGGCAUCCUGGUGGACCGCGAGGUGGUCAGCCUCUUCCUGCACUUCACCGUCAACCCCAAGCCACGAGUGGAGUUCAUUGACCGGCCCCGCUGCUGCCUGCGUGGGAAGGAGUGCAGCAUCAACCGCUUCCAGCAGGUGGAGAGUCGCUGGGGCUACAGCGGGACCAGUGACCGCAUUAGGUGGGGCUUGGGGUGCAGGUGGGGGGGUCCGGGCAUGGGGGUGGAGGACUCGGGGAUGAUGGAGAUGGGGGGGCAGGCAUGGGGGUCGAGGACUCAGGGAUGAUGACGACAGGGGAGGGCAGGCAUGGGGGUGGAGGACUCAGGGAUGAUGGGGGGGGGCCGGGCAUGGGGGUGGGCUCGCCCCAGCUCACCUUAGGCUGUCCCUGGGUAUCCACACGGCCGCCUGUCAUCUGCCAUGGCAGGUUCUCAGUCAACAAGCGCAUCUUCGUGGUGGGAUUUGGGCUGUAUGGAUCCAUCCACGGGCCCACCGACUACCAAGUGAACAUCCAGAUUAUCCACACCGAUAGCAACACCGUCCUGGGCCAGAAUGACACGGGCUUCAGCUGCGACGGCUCAGCCAGCACCUUCCGCGUCAUGUUCAAAGAGCCGGUGGAGGUGCUGCCCAACGUCAACUACACGGCCUGCGCCACGCUCAAGGGCCCAGACUCCCACUACGGCACCAAAGGCCUGCGCAAGGUGACACACGAGUCACCCACCACGGGCGCCAAGACCUGCUUCACCUUUUGCUACGCGGCUGGGAACAACAAUGGCACAUCCGUGGAGGACGGCCAGAUCCCCGAGGUCAUUUUCUAUACCUAGGCUGCCUGACACCGACACCGCCCUCCCUCUGUGGGGAAGGCUGGGGCCCCGAGGUCAUAUUCUACACCUGGGUCACCCGACACCGCCCUCCCUCCGUGGGGACAGCCGCAGCCCCAGGCCAUCAUCCGCUGCUGGGGCCCCCCCCCGGCCACGCGGUGCCAGGCCCAGUGUCCCCCCCGGGCCAUCUGUCCACUCCACGCCACCUUUGUCAGCAUCAGGAAGGGGUUGCCCUGUGUUCACGAGCGCGGCUGCUGGAUCAGGGCAGCCGGGGAGGUGGCCGGGCCAGUGGCCAGGCCCUGUGGAGACAAUCCCUCAGGACUGGGGACAGGGCUGUGCCGGCCUGGGCCAGGGCCCACGGACCCGCAGCUCAGGGCACCUGCCACGUCAUCUGACGGCGGUGUGCGUUCCCCGCGUCUCUUCACUGCACAUUGCAAUGCAUUUGCGAUUCCCACAUCUCUGCUAGGAGCCAGCCUGGGUGGCGCCGCUCCCAGAGCCGUGGUUACCAGACCUUGCGUUCCUUUUGUUCCUGUCCAUUUAUCGGGACACGGGCCCCACCUGUCACGUGCCCGAGGCCACCCAAGCCCAGCCUGCGGGGCGUUCCCACUGCCUGGGUGCCGGCUUGAGUUCUGCGUGUGUGGGAUUCAGUGUGGGGACGGCCCCUGCCGGAUAGGCCUUGCCCUGGCCCAGGUGGUGAGCGGUUUGCAGUGUCUGUUCUCAUCCACCUGAUGGGCCCAGAUAAGGGCCCCCACUGUCCAGCCUCCCUGGACGGCCCCCGCGGUCCCUGCAGCCCAAGAUGGGACUCAGACCCUGCGCCCCAGAGCUCCCCUGCCGCAGAAUGGGGCCCCAGCCGGCCCCGACCGGGUCCAGGAGCAGUGCUUGCCUGUACAUACUGUUGCCCUAGCCCGCCUGGUGCCGCGGGAGCCACCCCCAGGUGCUGGGGGGCAUAGCCCCUCCCCACCCCGGCCACGCCCCCACCUGCCCUGCGUGUUUCUGCCUUGUGACUCCUGGAAACUGCGUCCUCCCCAAAGCCAUGGGAGGGGUGUCCUCCUCAGACCACGCCCCUAGAUGAUUUUUUUUAAAUAAACAAACAAACGCACCUGCCCUGAGCGCA